CCCUGACCUCCAAACACUGGGUUCAGGCUCCGGAUCUUAGCAGCAGACGGACGAGUGACCUCCACCUUAGAGUAAGCAGCAGCGGUGACCAGCGGCCUGAGACACAAACACACAUCAGCACACCGGUGAACAACUGUGUGUGUGUGUGUGUGUGUGUGUGUGUGUGAGAGAGAGAGAGAGAGAGUGUGUGUGUGUGAGAGAGAGAGAGAGAGAGUGUGUGUGUGUGUGAAAGAGAGACAGCAUGUAUGUCUGUGUGUGUGUGUGUGUACUUGUUGUCUCUGCUGAAGGUGUGUGUGUGUGUGUGUGUACUUGUUGUCUCUGCUGAAGGUGUGUGUGUGUGUGUGUGUGUGUGUGUACUUGUUGUCUCUGCUGAAGGUGUGUGUGUGUGUGUGUACUUGUUGUCUCUGCUGAAGGUGUGUGUGUGUGUGUGUGUACUUGUUGUCUCUGCUGAAGGUGUGUGUGUGUGUGUGUGUACUUGUUGUCUCUGCUGAAGGUGUGUGUGUGUGUGUGUGUGUGUGUGUGUACUUGUUGUCUCUGCUGAAGGUGGGCGUGGCUGCAGGUUUUCUGCUGGUCUCUGUGCUCAGCUCUUGGCUGAUGUCUGGAGAGGAGUAAGAGCGUUUGAGUUUGGACUGCUCUCUCU